UGGGGAAUUUUGGACAAUGGGCGCAAGCCUGAUCCAGCCAUGCCGCGUGCGGGAAGAAGGCCUUCGGGUUGUAAACCGCUUUUGNCAGGGAAGAAAUCUUCUGAGUUAAUGCCUCGGGAGGAUGACGGUACCUGAAGAAUAAGCACCGGCUAACUACGUGCCAGCAGCCGCGGUAAUACGUAGGGUGCAAGCGUUAAUCGGAAUUACUGGGCGUAAAGCGUGCGCAGGCGGUUUUGUAAGACAGAGGUGAAAUCCCCGGGCNCAACCUGGGAACUGCCUUUGUGANUGCAAGGCUUGAGUGCGGCAGAGGGGGAUGGAAUUCCGCGUGUAGCAGUAAAUGCGUAGAUAUGCGGAGGAACACCGAUGGCGAAGGC
rnacentral:rRNA from 1 species